CCACUAUUUUAAAUGGCAAUACAUGUGUAGUAUUUUAUGGAUUUCCUUUUCUGAGUCUAGAGAAGCAGCACUUUGUCAGGAAGUUAACCCUUGGUCUCAUUCAUUAUUUGUAGGACUUUGUGAAAUGUGAGAAUAAGAAGAAUGCUACUCCCAGAAGUAAUUUGGACUUCCCUGUUUCAGAGCAUAGAAAUUCUUCCAUCAAAAAAGAACAGAAGGUUUCCAUACGUCCAUCAUCUAAGAAAACAUACUCUUUACGGAGUCAGGCACCCACGAUAGAUGUAAACUUGACCACUAAGAAAAAAGAAGGAACAUUUCAGAAAUUUGGAGACUUCUUACAGCGUUCUCCAACAAUUCUUCAGUCAAAAGCAAAGAAGAUCAUUGAAACAAUGAGCUCUUCAAACCUCUCAAAUGUAGAGGCAAGUAAGGAAAAUGUGUCGCGACCCAAAUGAGCCAAACGGAAAUUAUACACAAAUGAAAUCUCCUCGCCUCUGGAUAUAUCUGGCCAAGUGAUUUUAAUGGACCAAGGAUUGAAGGAGAGUGACCACCAGAUUCUAAAGCGAAGACUUCGAGCAAAAAUGGAGAAAUGAAUGGUUCAUGGAGGACAUUACAAUGUAACUUUAUGUUAUAAUCAUUGUAACGUUCAGCCCUACUCUAUAAAGAUAACUCUGUAUAUUAUGGUUCAUUAAAUACCUCUGUAUAGAGAUUACUGUUUUAUAUAUAGUGUUAUUUUAAUGCAAUAAAGAAAGUAAGUUAA